CGCCCUCCCCGCGCUCAGGCUGGUGCUGGGGGAUCCGUGCUUCUCCCACCCCUUAGCUUUUGGGGUUCUGUUUGGCCUGGGGAAAGACGGCUGGAUGAGCAGGUAAGGGA
ensembl:miRNA